AUUGAACGCUGGCGGCAUGCCUUACACAUGCAAGUCGAACGGUAACGGGUCCUUCGGGAUGCCGACGAGUGGCGAACGGGUGAGUAAUAUAUCGGAACGUGCCCAGUAGUGGGGGAUAACUGCUCGAAAGAGCAGCUAAUACCGCAUACGACCUGAGGGUGAAAGGGGGGGAUCGCAAGACCUCUCGCUAUUGGAGCGGCCGAUAUCAGAUUAGCUAGUUGGUGGGGUAAAGACCUACCAAGGCAACGAUCUGUAGUUGGUCUGAGAGGACGACCAGCCACACUGGACUGAGACACGGCCCAGACUCCUACGGGAGGCAGCAGUGGGGAAUUUUGGACAAUGGGCGCAAGCCUGAUCCAGCAAUGCCGCGUGCAGGAAGAAGGCCUUCGGGUUGUAAACUGCUCUUGUCAGGGAAGAAAUCUUCUGGGCUAAUACCCCGGGAGGAUGACGGUACCUGAAGAAUAAGCACCGGCUAACUACGUGCCAGCCGCCGCCGUAA
rnacentral:rRNA from 1 species